UAUCUCCCUUCGACGCCAUCGAGUACUUCGCGCUAACGCCUUCGCGUAGGCGCUCUAUAUUCACGGAAAAGGCAGAUUCUGUGGGAUUCUAUGUUCUGCUUUAGUGGGAUGAAACAUUCAAAAUAAUGUCAUCGUGUGAAGUUUCAGCCUUUGGCCCUUCAAAUCAAAAUGAGCCUGGAGACGCCACAGCCGGAAUGCGAAAGGUUGGAGAAGUGCUCAUUCUGAUGAUCCUGGCACAGCUUGCCAUGGUGGACCAGGCAAGUUUGCAAGGGCCUUGAUUCACCAUGUGGUCACAGAGAAGAACCUUAUGGGCCACUCAUUUCUCGGAAACAACACCACCAAUAGGCAAAAAGAGGCUCUUGGCCUUAUCAGGGUCAACGCUGUU